rnacentral:tRNA from 1 species
GGGGUUGGGGCUCAGCGGUAGAGCAGUCUCCUCGCACGUGUGAGACUCUGGGUUCGAUCCUCAGCACCACA